GAUGAACGCUGGCGGCGUGCCUAAUACAUGCAAGUCGAGCGAAUGGAUUAAGAGCUUGCUCUUAUGAAGUUAGCGGCGGACGGGUGAGUAACACGUGGGUAACCUGCCCAUAAGACUGGGAUAACUCCGGGAAACCGGGGCUAAUACCGGAUAACAUUUUGAACCGCAUGGUUCGAAAUUGAAAGGCGGCUUCGGCUGUCACUUAUGGAUGGACCCGCGUCGCAUUAGCUAGUUGGUGAGGUAACGGCUCGCCAAGGCAACGGUGCGUAGCCGACCUGGGAGGGUGAGCGGCCACACUGGGACGGAGACACGGCCCAGACUCCUACGGGAGGCAGCAGGAGGGAAGCUUUCGCAAUGGACGAAAGUCUGACGGAGCAACGCCGCGUGAGUGAUGAAGGCUUUCGGGUCGUAAAACUCUGUUGUUAGGGAAGAACAAGUGCUAGUUGAAUAAGCUGGCACCUUGACGGUACCUAACCAGAAAGCCACGGCUAACUACGUGCCAGCCGCCGCGGUAA
rnacentral:rRNA from 1 species